rnacentral:rRNA from 1 species
UAGGGAAUCUUCCACAAUGGACGCAAGUCUGAUGGAGCAACGCCGCGUGAGUGAAGAAGGCUUUCGGGUCGUAAAACUCUGUUAUUGAAGAAGAACGUGCGUGACAGUAACUGGUCAUGCAGUGACGGUAUUCAAUCAGAAAGUCACGGCUAACUACGUGCCAGCAGCCGCGGUAAUACGUAGGUGGCAAGCGUUGUCCGGAUUUAUUGGGCGUAAAGCGAGUGCAGGCGGUCUUUUAAGUCUGAUGUGAAAGCCUUCGGCUUAACCGAAGAAGGGCAUCGGAAACUGGGAGACUUGAGUGCAGAAGAGGAGAGUGGAACUCCAUGUGUAGCGGUGAAAUGCGUAGAUAUAUGGAAGAACACCAGUGGCGAAGGCGGCUCUCUGGUCUGUAACUGACGCUGAGGCUCGAAAGCGUGGGUAGCAAACAGGAUUAGAUACCCUGGUAGUCCACGCCG